GCCUGUUUAUCAAAAACAUGGCUCCUUGUAAAUCUUAAAUAAGGAGUCGGACCUGCCCGGUGAAAAUUUUUAACGGCCGCGGUACUCUGACCGUGCAAAGGUAGCAUAAUCAUUUGCCUUAUAAUUGAAGGCUAGUAUGAAGGGUUUGACAAGGAUAUAACUGUCUCUUUAUAAUUAAAUAGAAUUUUAUUUAUAGGUGAAGAAGCCUAAAUAGUAUUGAAAGACAAGAAGACCCUAUCGAGCUUUAAAGAAAUCAGUAGAUUAAAUAAGUUAAUAAAUUUAAAAAACUGGCUAUUGUAUAUUUUAGUUGGGGCGACUAAGGAACAGUAAAAGCUUCCUUCAAUUUAAUUAAAUACUAUUCAAGUAUUGAUCCAGAACUAUUCUGAUUAAGGAAAUUAGUUACCGUAGGGAUAACAGCAUAAUCUUUUUUAAGAGUUCUUAUCGAAAAAAAGGUUUGUGACCUCGAUGUUGGACCAGAGUAUCCCAAAGAUGCAGCAGUCUUUAAAGGUUGGUCUGUUCGACCAUUAAAACUCUACGUGAUCUGAGUUCAGACCGGA
rnacentral:rRNA from 1 species